rnacentral:rRNA from 1 species
AUUGAACGCUGGCGGCAUGCCUUACACAUGCAAGUCGAACGGCAGCACGGGUGCUUGCACCUGGUGGCGAGUGGCGAACGGGUGAGUAAUACAUCGGAACAUGUCCUGUAGUGGGGGAUAGCCCGGCGAAAGCCGGAUUAAUACCGCAUACGAUCUACGGAUGAAAGCGGGGGACCUUCGGGCCUCGCGCGAUAGGGUUGGCCGAUAGCUGAUUAGCUAGUUGGUGGGGGAAAGGCCUACCAAGGCGACGAUCAGUAGCUGGUCUGAGAGGACGACCAGCCACACUGGGACUGAGACACGGCCCAGACUCCUACGGGAGGCAGCAGUGGGGAAUUUUGGACAAUGGGCGAAAGCCUGAUCCAGCAAUGCCGCGUGUGUGAAGAAGGCCUUCGGGUUGUAAAGCACUUUUGUCCGGAAAGAAAUCCUUGGCUCUAAUACAGUCGGGGGAUGACGGUACCGGAAGAAUAAGCACCGGCUAACUACGUG